AGAGUUUGAUUCUGGCUCAGAACGAACGCUGGCGGCGUGGAUAAGACAUGCAAGUCGAACGAGAGAAUUGCUAGCUUGCUAAUAAUUCUCUAGUGGCGCACGGGUGAGUAACACGUGAGUAACCUGCCCCCGAGAGCGGGAUAGCCCUGGGAAACUGGGAUUAAUACCGCAUAGUAUCGAAAGAUUAAAGCAGCAAUGCGCUUGGGGAUGGGCUCGCGGCCUAUUAGUUAGUUGGUGAGGUAACGGCUCACCAAGGCGAUGACGGGUAGCCGGUCUGAGAGGAUGUCCGGCCACACUGGAACUGAGACACGGUCCAGACACCUACGGGUGGCAGCAGUCGAGAAUCAUUCACAAUGGGGGAAACCCUGAUGGUGUGACGCCGCGUGGGGGAAUGAAGGUCUUCGGAUUGUAAACCCCUGUCAUGUGGGAGCAAAUUAAAAAGAUAGUACCACAAGAGGAAGAGACGGCUAACUCUGUGCCAGCAGCCGCGGUAAUACAGAGGUCUCAAGCGUUGUUCGGAAUCACUGGGCGUAAAGCGUGCGUAGGCUGUUUCGUAAGUCGUGUGUGAAAGGCGCGGGCUCAACCCGCGGACGGCACAUGAUACUGCGAGACUAGAGUAAUGGAGGGGGAACCGGAAUUCUCGGUGUAGCAGUGAAAUGCGUAGAUAUCGAGAGGAACACUCGUGGCGAAGGCGGGUUCCUGGACAUUAACUGACGCUGAGGCACGAAGGCCAGGGGAGCGAAAGGGAUUAGAUACCCCUGUAGUCCUGGCAGUAAACGGUGCACGCUUGGUGUGCGGGGAAUCGACCCC
rnacentral:rRNA from 1 species